rnacentral:misc_RNA from 1 species
GAACUGCGAUAAGUAAUGUGAAUUGCAGAAUUCAGUGAAUCAUCGAAUCUUUGAACGCAAAUUGCGCUUUGAGGUCAUUCCUCAGAGCAUACUUGGUUGAGUAUCAUUAAAAUUCCAAUCACUUUUUUUCUUUUCACAAGAAAAAAGAAAAAGUGGAAUAUGAGAGUCAAAAAAUAUGUGACAGGCUUUACCGUCUGUCAAAUAAAAUUUUGUCUCUUUAAAUUUAAAUGAUUUGUUACAUGUAAACAUUAUCAUGUGUUAAAUUGAUAUUUCAAUAUAAAAUAUGAUACAUGUUAUCGCCGUAAAAAAUCAUUACAUCGGUUAAUAUAAAUUUUUGAACUAUGAUCUCAACUCAAGUAAGACUACCCGCUGAACUUAA